GCAGGCGUAAGCUGUAGGUCAGCCCCGGUGAGGCGGUUUCCGGGUUUCGCCGGUUCAAGUCCGGCCGCCUGCA
rnacentral:tRNA from 1 species